rnacentral:lncRNA from 1 species
GGAGAUAUUCUGUUAUGACCUGGAACAUACAGAUACUAUACUAUACUGUAGGUAUUCUGUGAUGAUACUGUAGUAUUUAAUAUCACUCCCACAUGAUUCUUCCCAAAUGUAGGUGGCAGGUAGCCUUUUGUUUAGAGUGUUGGGCCAGUAACACGGUGAAAAAUAUGUUGUACAGUACAUACCACAGUACAGUACUAUGAAUUGUACACUUGACCUCAUUCGCACUGUUCUCACUGAUCCAGUAUCAAUGAUUCUGACCAUGAAACUCAUGGGCCGUGUUCCGUAUAUGUAUGUUCCACGUCAUAACAUAAUAUCUACAGAAGUAUCUGCAUGUUCCACGUCAUAACAUAAUAUCUACAGUACUAUCUGUAUGUUCCA